UACGUAGGGUGCAAGCGUUAAUCGGAAUUACUGGGCGUAAAGCGUGCGCAGGCGGUUUUGUAAGUCUGUCGUGAAAGCCCCGGGCUCAACCUGGGAAUUGCGAUGGAGACUGCAAGGCUUGAAUCUGGCAGAGGGGGGUAGAAUUCCACGUGUAGCAGUGAAAUGCGUAGAGAUGUGGAGGAACACCGAUGGCGAAGGCAGCCCCCCUGGGCCAACACUGACGCUCAGGCACGAAAGCGUGGGGAGCAAACAGG
rnacentral:rRNA from 1 species